rnacentral:rRNA from 1 species
UGGACGGGUGAGUAAUGUCUGGGAAACUGCCUGAUGGAGGGGGAUAACUACUGGAAACGGUAGCUAAUACCGCAUAACGUCGCAAGACCAAAGAGGGGGACCUUCGGGCCUCUUGCCAUCGGAUGUGCCCAGAUGGGAUUAGCUAGUAGGUGGGGUAAAGGCUCACCUAGGCGACGAUCCCUAGCUGGUCUGAGAGGAUGACCAGCCACACUGGAACUGAGACACGGUCCAG